UGCGGCGGCAACAGGUGGAGCAGGUGGUGGCAGAGUUGGUGGUGACAGAGGCGGCAGCAGUAGAGGAAGACCCUAGGUGUGCCGCACCUAGGGUUAGGGUUACCCUUCUCUCUUUUUUUUUUUGUUUUCUGAUUUGGACUGAAUUUUUUAUUAGGUUUGUGAUUUUGGGCCUGUUGUAUUUGGUUUGUUGGAUUUGGGUUGGUUAUUGGGCUGAUUGGGCUAGUGUUGGGUUUGGUCAGUUGGGUAGGUCAAAAUGGGCCCGUACAAAUUAUAUUUUCAAAUUUUAUCGUUUGCUUGUUCGACCAACAGUAUAAAAAAACAGUUCUUUCAUCAAUCAAAACUAGUUCUUUUACAACUGGAUAGGUCGGUUGGGUCGGUUGGACCGAAAACUAAACUGGGUGUUAGUUCAAAGAUAGUUGUUGAAAUCAAUUGAAUUGCGAGUUGGUACAGACCGAAUGAUUCGAGCUACAAAAGAUUGUUGAAUUGAUUUUCUCUAUUUUUAAAUAUUUUUUUAUUUUUAUGAUUUUUUUAAAUAAUUUAUUUGAUCAGAAAGAACAAAUUAAUCAAACAAGAAAUUGGUGAUAUCGAUUUGACCAUUAGUCCAAUUCUGAAAACCUUGAUUAAGUAAAAAAAUA
rnacentral:lncRNA from 1 species